UUAAAAAAUAAAUUUAAAAUAUUAGAGUAGUAUUAGAUAUAUUCUUAAAACUUAAAAAAUUUGGCGGUAUUUUAAUCUGUUUAGAGGAACCUGUUUUAUAAUUGAUAAUCCACAUUGAAUCUUACUUAAAUUUGUUUAAUUUGUAUAUCGUUGUCAUAGGAAUAUCUUUAAAAAGGAAUAAUUUUCUAAUAAAAUAAUUAUUUAUUAUGUCAGAUCAAGGUGCAGUUUAUAUUUAAGUAAAAAUGGGUUACAAUAAAUUUAUUUAUUAUGAAUUAGAAAUUUUAAUAUUUUUAUGAAGGAGGAUUUAAUAGUAAAUUUUUAGAGAUUAUAAAAUUGAUUAUAGUUCUAAAAUAUGU
rnacentral:rRNA from 1 species